CUGUGAUGAUGACCAUCUUAGGACACCUUUGGAAUUCAUAAUGAAAAUAAAACUCAGUUCCUGAGCAGC
ensembl:snoRNA SNORD58 Small nucleolar RNA SNORD58